GAGGAAAAGAAACUAACAAGGAUUCCCCUAGUAACUGCGAGUGAAGCGGGAAAAGCUCAAUAUUGUAAUCCGUCGCCCGACGGAGUUGUAGACUAGAGGCGUUUUCGGCCGCUGACUUGGAAAAGUCCCUUGGAACAGGGCGUCAUAGAGGGUGAUAAUCCCGUCUUUGCCAAGAACCCAGCGUCUAUGUGAUACGCUCUCGAGGAGUCGAGUUGUUUGGGAAUGCAGCUCAAAAGGGGUGGUAAAUUCCAUCCAAAGCUAAAUAUUGGCGAGAGACCGAUAGCGAACAAGUACCGUGAGGGAAAGAUGAAAAGCACUUUGGAAAGAGGGUUAAACAGUACGUGAAAUUGCUAAAAGGGAAGCGCUUGAAGUCAGUCGCGUGCCCAGCGGUUUGGCCUUCGGACCAGACCCGUUGGGCACGGGCCAGCAUCAAUUUUGGGCGCGGGAAAAGGGCCUGGGGAAUGUGGCAGCCUCGGCUGUGUUAUAGCCCCUUGUCGUACACCGCGCCUGGGAUUGAGGACCGCGGCAGGGGAGUGCCUAGGAUGCUGGCGUAAUGGCUUUAAGCGACCCGUCUU
rnacentral:rRNA from 1 species